GGCAGCCUGGUAACCGAGGUUCCACGUGCCGGAAGUCCCUCAGGGGCUGAGCCAAGAGAGCCUAUUUUCCUUUUCUAACUUAAUGACAUAUGAAUAUUCUCUGUAGAGGAGGCUUGUGCUUAACCACGCUGCAUGAAGAACCUGUGUCGUCCAUGAGAAACGGUGAUAUCUGUCAUAACCAGAGAGAAGGCGAUUAAUAAGUGUCACUUUGUUGAUAAAGAACUCAUUAUUUUGGAAUUAGUGGACUGUUGGGAGAUAUUUUUCGGGCAGCAGCUAAGCUCUAAUUUUACAUCAAUUACAAGUCUUUACAAGCAGAAGUAACAUUGUGGAACUUCUGGAUUUAAGCCUCAACAGGACUUGGUUUCUCCUUUCAUCAUUUUGAACCGCUGCUGUUACAUUGGGAAAUCCUAGCCAGCUCGCCUGGAAGGCACAACACAUCCAACAGCCCCAAAUGUCGAGCUUGAGUGAGACUGUUCUAUACUCUCAAGCCGUCACAUGGUAGAAACCACAAGGAGAAUGAGUCAUCAGGUUGUCCAGGUGAGACAACUGCAGCUGUCUUCAAACAUACCAGAAGAGGGCAUCAGACCCCAUUACAGAUAAGGUUGUGAGCCACCAUGUGGUUGCUGAGAUUUGAACUCUGGAAGAGCAGUCAGUGCUCUUAACCACUGAGCCACCUCUCCAGCCUUACUUGCUGAGCAUUUCGAUAAAAGAAUGAAAGAUGGAGUCUUGGUGAGAAUUGGAAUAGAUGCUGGAAUGCUGUCAGUCAGAAGCAGCAUGAUCUCAUGCCCUCAUUUCUUACCCCCCAACACCUAUGUCACUAGUGCCUCUGACUCCACCUUUACACUUUACAUAAAUACAAUCCCGGCUCUUGGGUC